UCCGAUAUGGUGUAGUGGCCAACAUGAUGCCCUCUCAAUUUGUAGAUACAACUGUAAAAUGGUAAGGCAUAGCCCCGAGUUCGAUUCUCGGUUUCGGAA
rnacentral:tRNA from 2 species